CCCACCCACUUUCCUCCGAGCGGACGGAGCCGAGGGGGCGGGGGCUCCCUCCCGGGAGUGUUUCUAGAGCUCCGAGGCAGCUAGUAGGGGUUUCAUUGUCCGCAUGUUUAAAGUCUAAGAGAAAAAAAAAAAUCUCUGGAUAUGAAGUUGGGAGAUAGAUCCAAGUCUACAUCUACGUCCUCAUGUUGGUGACCUUGGGGCACCACUUUCAGAUAAAAACAUAGACCUGAAUGGCAUCAUCCAGUAUCCAAGGAAACCAUGUAAGUACCUCUCUCACUGUGUACUUCUCUUAUUCAGGGUUUAAAAGCUAGCUGAGUACUGAAUAAGUGAGUGUUUUUAUUUAAUAAUUAUACGGGAGGUACUUUUUAGGAGCUUGCUAAAAAGAAACAGGUUCUUGAUUGUUAUGUGCGUCAUAACAAAACCCUUAUGUUUUUCAUCAUGUUUCAUAAAAUUGUGUGUUUAGUCGCAAUCUCUCCAUCAAUUCUCAUUCUUAGGUACAAAACAGCUACUCAAAAGUCAUAAUGAAUUGAGAGUUUCAAACUUUUCCAAGACCCAUUAGUGUCUGAGAAACAAUGUUUCAGAGGCCUUGUGCCAGGAGUAGUGACCUAAUUGUAAUAAACACUUUUUAAAUUUUACAAAUUAAGAAAAAACUGAUUGGAAAAUAGUAGUUUAUUGGUAAACAUUUAUAACAGUUGAUUCGGUUUUAGACUUCCUUAGGGAGCGAGCAACUGAGCAAAAAGGUGAAGUUACAGAUUUAAACAAUGUAAAGAAUCCUGACAACAAGUGUAAUUUUUAAGAUGUGAAAAAUCUGUUUGCAGAAAGGGUUGGAAAGUUGGCAUAUUGUGUUCUUUAUUUUUGUUUCCCCUAACUCAUUAGUUUGUAGCUAAUUUCUGUAGCUAAUUUUAGCAUUCUAAUUAAUUUUCAGAACCAUGGAAUCUACUGAAUCUACUGUAGAAAUUGUUUCCAAACAACACACUAUUCUGGACAAAGAUCCACUUUAUAAAUAUUUGGAAUAUUCUACUAAGUAUUUCUUUACUUGGACUUUAUUAUUUUUUUUCUUAUUUGCACUCUGUACUUUUAAAGUCAAAUUAUUUUCAAUACUAAAUAAUUAUUCAUUUUCAUUUACCUUUGUGAAAAUACUUAAAACUCUAUACUUAUGUAAUUAUUGACUG